rnacentral:rRNA from 1 species
AAGGAUAGCCUAGCUAACGGCGAGUGAAGCGGCAACAGCUCAAAUUUGAAAGCUGGCCUUCGGGUCCGCAUUGUAAUUUGUAGAGGAUGCUUUGGGUGAAACGCCAGUCUAAGUUCCUUGGAACAGGACGUCAUAGAGGGUGAGAAUCCCGUAUGUGACUGGAAAUGUUAACCUAUGUAAAGCUCCUUCGACGAGUCGAGUUGUUUGGGAAUGCAGCUCUAAAUGGGAGGUAAAUUUCUUCUAAAGCUAAAUAUUGGCGAGAGACCGAUAGCGCACAAGUAGAGUGAUCGAAAGAUGAAAAGCACUUUGGAAAGAGAGUUAAAAAGCACGUGAAAUUGUUGAAAGGGAAGCGCUUGCAAUCAGACUUGUUUAAACUGCUCGGCCGGUCUUCUGACCGGUUUACUCAGUUUGGACAGGCCAGCAUCAGUUUCGGCGGCCGGAUAAAGGCUCUGGGAAUGUGGCCUUCACUUCGGUGAAGGUGUUAUAGCCCAGGGUGUAAUACGGCCAGCCGGGACUGAGGUCCGCGCUUCGGCUAGGAUGCUGGCGUAAUGGUUGUAAGCGACCCGCUUAAAAAAGGGGACCAAAGGAAAAGC